GGAUUUGGCAACACAGACUCUAAAAUUGGAACAAUACAGAGAAUACAGACAAGAUUAGCAUGGCCCCUGCGUAAAGAUGAAGCAUGCUGUAUUUGAAUGUUAACUAACUGGA